rnacentral:rRNA from 1 species
GGAAUAUUGCACAAUGGGCGCAAGCCUGAUGCAGCGACGCCGCGUGUGUGAAGAAGGCCUGCGGGUUGUAAAGCACUUUUAGUGGGGAUGAAAAGCACAUUGCUAAUACCAGUGUGUCUUGACCUAACCCAAAGAAAAAGCAACGGCUAACUCUGUCCCAGCGGCCGCGGUAAUACAGAGGGUGCGCGCGUUAAUCGGAAUUACUGGGCGUAAAGCGUGCGUAGACGGUUAUUUAAGUCGGAUGUGAAAGCCCCGGGCUCAACCUGGGAAUUGCAUUCGAGACUGAAUAGCUAGGGUACGGUAGAGGGAAGUGGAAUUUCCGGUGUAGCGGUGAAAUGCGUAGAUAUCGGAAGGAACAUCAGUGGCGAAAGCGACUUCCUGGACCAGUACCGACGUUCAGGCACGAAAGCGUGGGGAGCAA